rnacentral:lncRNA from 10 species
UCAUCGCUUCAGUCAUCAAAAAUUCAUUAAGUGCCCAUCUGCAAAAGGCACUAAAAUACAGGAAUCCUAGCUUCCUUCUUACUCCAUAAGGCAAACUUUCAAAUAAUAAGCAGAUCCACAGCAGAUGGACUGGUUUUUAGCACUCCUGAGGGGGAGAGGAUGGAGCCAGUCUGUCUCUGUCUCUCUCUAAAUCUAGAGAGAACGUGAGCCAGCG